rnacentral:rRNA from 1 species
CUACGGGACGCUCCAGUGAGGAAUAUUGCACAAUGGAGGAAACUCUGAUGCAGCAACGCCGCAUGGAGGAUGACGCAUUUCGGUGUGUAAACUCCUUUUAUAUGUCAAGAAAAUGACGGUAGCAUAUGAAUAAGCACCGGCUAACUCCGUGCCAGCAGCCGCGGUAAUACGGAGGGUGCAAGCGUUACUCGGAAUCACUGGCGUAAAGGACGCGUAGGCGGGAUAUCAAGUCAGGUGUGAAAUCCUACAGCUUAACUGUAGAACUGCACUUGAAACUGGUAACCUAGAGUAUGGGAGGGGGAGAUGGAAUUAGUGGUGUAGGGGUAAAAUCCGUAGAUAUCACUAGGAAUACCUAAAGCGAAGGCGAUCUCCUGGAACAUAACUGACGCUAAGGCGUGAAAGCGUGGGGAGCAAACAGGAUUGGAUACCCCUGUAGUC